CAGUGGCGAACGGGUGCGUAACACGUGGGCAAUCUGCCGAGAAGUGGGGGAUAGCUCGCCGAAAGGCGAAUUAAUACCGCAUGUGAUCAGGGGAGACAUCUUCCCGAAAUCAAAGGUGGCGCAAGCUACCGCUUUUUGAGGAGCCCGCGGCCUAUCAGCUUGUUGGUGAGGUAAUGGCUCACCAAGGCGUUGACGGGUAGCUGGUCUGAGAGGACGACCAGUCACACUGGGACUGAGACACGGCCCAGACACCUACGGGUGGCAGCAGUCGAGAAUUUUUCUCAAUGGGGGAAACCCUGAAGGAGCGACGCCGCGUGGAGGAUGAAGGUCUUCGGGUUGUAAACUCCUGUCAUUUGGGAACAAGGUGCGCGCCUUAACUGCGCGCGCAUUGAUAGUACCAGAAGAGGAAGAGACGGCUAACUCUGUGCCAGCAGCCGCGGUAAUACAGAGGUCUCAAGCGUUGUUCGGAUUCAUUGGGCGUAAAGGGUGCGUAGGUGGCGCGGUAAGUCGGGUGUGAAAUUUCGGAGCUUAACUCCGAAACUGCAUUCGAUACUGCCGUGCUUGAGGACUGGAGAGGAGACUGGAAUUUACGGUGUAGCAGUGAAAUGCGUAGAUAUCGUAAGGAAGACCAGUGGCGAAGGCGGGUCUCUGGACAGUUCC
rnacentral:rRNA from 1 species